UGGUUGUAUAGCUACUGGGGCCAGGCCCGAAACUCUGCUCUCAACUAUGUCCCCAGGUCUGGGAGCAGCUGCAGGCCUUAGUUUCUCUUUCGUACACUGAGAACCAAUUACCUGGAGCCUGUCCACCUGGCAGGAGACGUGUGGGACCUGUAGAGGGAGAAAGUGCUCCAGGGCCUUGCAGACUGUCAGACCCCUGCGGGUACACAGAUGACAAGUGAAGUCAACGUGGGGGCAGAGCUCCAAUCCCAGCCUCGUUCCAGUUACUCACACCAGCAGG